UGGAGGGAUUUUGGAGGGAUUUCAAACACACUAAAAUGAGUUAGGGCUUAAAGACAUAUGUCUCUCUCACUCUCAUCUACCCUCCUCUGAUUCUCUUUCUCUCUCUUCAAUUCCUUGUCGGAAACCCAACCCCAAACUCCCUAUUACUGUCUUCAUUUUCUCUCUUCCUCACUUCCUCUCUCCGCCAUCCCAAUCUUCAUCAACAGUGGUAGCCCCAAACUCUCUAUUUCAGCCAUAGUGGAGAUUUCAAAAGGAGCCACUGCAAAAAGGAAGAUUUCACUGGACCACCACCAUCUCUAGGGAGAUUGGUACUCGGUCGUCGUCAAUAUUCAAGGAGAUCCGAAACAGAGCAAAAAAGUUGCUGGAAUUCUCCUCCUCAUUGACGGGAGGACUUGCUUGCUUCAAGAGAAGCAAAAUUCCAAGAGGGAAAUUGAAUGGCUUGAGUUGAAGCCUUGUUUGUACAAGCGUCAGUGAGCUUUGGACAAAAGUGCUUGUGUCUCAAGAUCAAUGAGCCCAAAUUGAUAUUGCUCUAGCUACUGCAGUGUGUAAAAGUUUUUUCGUGACCCUGAUGUGGCAAUACCAAUUUUUUACAUGUCUACAUGGUUAAUGAAGCUGCUAGAUGUUUGUGAUAUUGUAUUCAUGUUGAGGGCUGGUUCUCUCAUGUACAUGAAUUGCCUACUGCUUUAAUUUGUGCCCCUAUGGAUUCAGAGCAUCCCUUCAUGCCUUUUAUAGGGGAUAGAGGAUUCAUAGCUUGAGGACCUAAUUCUUUGCCUUUGUUUGGCAAGAACUGUUUUAA